AGUGAACGCUGGCGAUAGGCCUAACACAUGCAAGUCGAACGGCAGCACAGUAAGAGCUUGCUCUUACGGGUGGCGAGUGGCGGACGGGUGAGGAAUACAUCGGAAUCUACUUUUUCGUGGGGGAUAACGUAGGGAAACUUACGCUAAUACCGCAUACGACCUACGGGUGAAAGCAGGGGAUCUUCGGACCUUGCGCGAUUGAAUGAGCCGAUGUCGGAUUAGCUAAUUGGCGGGGUAAAGGCCCACCAAGGCGACGAUCCGUAACUGGUCUGAGAGGAUGAUCAGCCACACUGGAACUGAGACACGGUCCAGACUCCUACGGGAGGCAGCAGUGGGGAAUAUUGGACAAUGGGCGCAAGCCUGAUCCAGCCAUACCGCGUGGGUGAAGAAGGCCUUCGGGUUGUAAAGCCCUUUUGUUGGGAAAGAAAAGCAGCAGGUUAAUACCCCGCUGUUCUGACGGUACCCAAAGAAUAAGCACCGGCUAACUUCGUG
rnacentral:rRNA from 1 species